rnacentral:rRNA from 1 species
AUUGAACGCUGGCGGCAGGCCUAACACAUGCAAGUCGAGCGAGUGGCGGACGGGUGAGUAAUGUAUGGGGAUCUGCCCGAUAGAGGGGGAUCACUACUGGAAACGGUGGCUAAUACCGCAUACUAUCGGAUGUACCCAUAUGGGAUUAGCUUGUAGGUGGGGUAAAGGCUCACCUAGGCGACGAUCUCUAGCUGGUCUGAGAGGAUGAUCAGCAAAACUGGGACUGAGACACGGCCAAGACUCCUACGGGAGGAAGCAGUGGGGAGUAUUGCACAAUGGGCGCAAGCCUGAUGCAGCCAUGCCGCGUGUAUGAAGAAGGCCUUAGGGUUGUAAAGUACUUUCAGCGGGGAGGCGUUACCCGCAGAAGAAGCACCGGCUAACUCCGUGCCAGCAGCCGCGGUAAUUC